UACGGAGGGUGCAAGCGUUGUCCGGAAUCACUGGGCGUAAAGGGCGCGUAGGCGGCUCAUGAAGGCUGUGGUGAAAGUCCGGGGCUCAACCUCGGAUCGGCCAUGGCGACUCGUGGGCUGGAGCACUGUAGAGGCGGGUGGAAUUCCGGGUGUAGCGGUGGAAUGUGUAGAGAUCCGGAAGAACACCAGUGGCGAAGGCGGCCCGCUGGGCAGUGGCUGACGCUGAGGCGCGACAGCGUGGGGAGCAAACAGG
rnacentral:rRNA from 1 species